UACGGGGGGGGCAAGCGUUGUUCGGAAUUACUGGGCGUAAAGGGCGCGUAGGCGGUCUUUUAAGUCUUGUGUGAAAUCCCUCGGCUCAACUGAGGAACUGCACGGGAUACUGGAAGACUUGAGUUCGGGAGAGGGAAGCGGAAUUCCGGGUGUAGCGGUGAAAUGCGUAGAUAUCCGGAGGAACACCGGUGGCGAAGGCGGCUUCCUGGGCCGAUUACUGACGCUGAGGCGCGAAAGCUAGGGGAGCAAACGGG
rnacentral:rRNA from 1 species